GACGGGGCCCGCACAAGCGGUGGAGCACGUGGUUUAAUUCGAUGCAAACCGAAGAACCUUACCUGGGUUUGACAUGUACGUGGUACUGAGCUGAAAGGUGAGGGACUGUGCCUUCGGGUACAGAGCGUACACAGGUGCUGCAUGGCUGUCGUCAGCUCGUGUCGUGAGAUGUUGGGUUAAGUCCCGCAACGAGCGCAACCCUUGCCUUUAGUUGCCAGCAGUUCGGCUGGGCACUCUAAAGGGACUGCCGGUGUUAAACCGGAGGAAGGUGGGGAUGACGUCAAGUCCUCAUGGCCUUUAUGACCAGGGCUACACACGUACUACAAUGGCCGAUACAAAGGGCAGCGACACUGCGAGGUGAAGCCAAUCCCGUAAAAUCGGUCUCAGUCCGGAUUGGAGUCUGCAACUCGACUCCAUGAAGUUGGAAUCGCUAGUAAUCGUGGAUCAGCAUGCCACGGUGAAUACGUUCCCGGGCCUU
rnacentral:rRNA from 1 species